rnacentral:lncRNA from 1 species
UGCCAUGCCUCUGCUGAUCCCUGUCAUUUUUUAAACCCCACAGAUCCCCCUCCCCAGCCUUCGCUGAGCAUGGAUCCCCCAUCCGGAGUGGUGAGCGAAGGGCUCCCCCUGCUCAUCACCUGCACGGCCCCCAGGGAUGCUGGUCAGCGGAGGUUUCACUUCUACAAGGACAGUGUUGAGCUCGUUCCUGGGGAUGUGGAGUCUGAGAUCAGCACCACAGAGCCCAGCACCAGGUCUAUGAACAUCUCUGUGCUCAGCAUCCCGCAGGCCGGUCCCAACAACACCGGGGAAUUCACCUGCGGGUACGAGGAGAACGUGGGUGGAAGGUGGAUCCCAUCCCCCAGGAGCCACGCUGUUAAUGUCACUGUUACAGCCUCACACUAUACCCGUGAUAUUCUGCUGGGAACUGGUGGCAUCUUGCUUAUGGGUGGAGCCCUGGCUGCUCUCAUCUGCUACUGCCAUAGGAAGAAAAGAGUUCCAAAGCCUCUGAAAAGCACCAAGGGAUCUGAGCCUGGAGAACACACCAGGAACCUGGAUCCUGGUCAUGAUAAUAAGGGAUCAAAAGCCACGGGUGCUGGAGCAGAGCAGAUGGAACAGGUAACGUGAAUGGAUUUAUAGGCUAAGCUUCAAACCCCAGCACAGUCCAACCUCCUGGAAACGGCAAGGCCUGAAUCUUUUGCCCACUCCUAAAAUGCAGCUGCCUCUCUGGGGUGGGGCAGCCAGGUAACAGCCACAGAGAGAUGCUGCACAGGGUUUGCUCACACAGGAGGCAGGGCUGGGAAUUCAUCAUCCCUUUCACCAUCACCCCAAACCUCCAUUGAAUCACAGAAAUGUGGGGCUGGAAGGAACCUCAAGAAGCCAUCUAGUCCAGCCCUCUGUGCCGAGGAAGGAUUACUUAAACCUAGACCAUCCCAAUGGGAUGUCCAGAGGUUCUUAAAAACCUCCAAUGAUGACAUCCUCCCUAGGUCACCUGUUCCAGAGAUUAACUACCCUUAGAGAUGGAAAGUUUCCCUUAAUAUCUAACCUAAAUCUCCCUUGCCACAUAUUAAGCCCAUUACAUCUUGUCCUACCUUCAGUGGAUACAGAGAACAAUUGAGCACUGUCCUCUUUAUAAUGUCAUGUAAAAAAAUGGUUAUAAGGUCCCCCCUCUCUAAACUAAACAUGCCCAAUUCUUUCACCCUUCCACAUGGUCAUAUUUUCUAAACUUCUGAUCAUUUUUGUUGCUCUUCCCUGGACCUUCUCCAGUUUAUCCACAUCUUUCUUAAGUGAGUCACACAAAACUCGACACAGUAACCAGCUGAGUCCUCACCAUGCCGAGUGGGACAACAGUUACCUCCUGUGUCUUAUAUACGACAGUCCUGUUCCUAUACCUCAGAAUGAGAUUAGCCUUUUUCUCAGCAGCAUCGUGCUAUCGACUCAUGUGCAAUUUGUGCUCCACUAGAACGCCUUUCCUGCAGUACUGCUGCCAUACAAGUUAAACCCCUUUUGUCCUGCUGCCUUUAAUUUUUCCUUCCUAAAGGGAGUACUUUGCACUUCCCUGAAUUCCAUUUUACUGAUUUCAGGGGAAUUCUCCCUUUUUUUAAGAUCACUUUGAUCUUGUCCUCCAAUGUCUUUGCAACCACCUAUUUUAUAGGCGUACUCUUCACUCCAGCAUCCAAGUACUUAGUGUCUGUGCACCCCUCCCCCUCACCAUGUCUCUUUCCUCUCCCACCAGGGCUCAGAAGUCACCUACGCACUCAUAGCAUUCCCGGCCUCACAGGCCCACACGUCCCAGAUGACAAAAAAACCAAAACCUGCUGAAGAUGAGCAUGUGCUGUAUAGCGAGGUGGUGACAACGCACACCUGGAAGGCAACUAAAUAAGGAGGAGACACUCUCUCUAUGUCUCUCUGCAUGUUCUUCCCCUCCUCCAGACAUCCAUAUCCUUAACCCUUUAUACCCCAAGAGUCCUUUUAUGCCUCUUGGCGAGGGGCACACCCAAAACACCAUUGCUAGAAUAUUUAGCCAACCAGCAUCUUGUCAGGUAUCAUAUAAAAACUGGUAACCCGUUGGUCAUGAACACCACUGCAUGAUAUAUGCACGGAUUGUGUAGCAAGUGUUACGUAUGUAUGCUGGAAAUAUGCUAUGAAUGUAGUUGAUAAAGAAGCCGGCCCUAGACGAAGGAAUGUGGAUUCAUGUGUCUGCGUGAAUAAGGCUAACUGGCGGAUAAGCAAAACAGCCUGGCUUGUGUGCUCCUGGCUGGUUUGAUGCCCACUCUUACCCAGGCAGCCGGCAUUAUCUGAGAACUUACAAUCUCAUAGCUGGAGACCAGACCAGGUCACCUGUGUGUUAGAUUUGCUCUAAAUAGAUAUUAGUCUUAUAAGAAUGUCUUUAGUGUUUAGAUGCUAUGAAAUGCUUGUAUGUUGCUGCCUGCAUUAAUCUCACUGAUAAUGUGAAUACCCAAUGUUAUAAGUGUUUGCUCUGAAACUGUAAAUGCCCACAGUGUGGAGAGAAGCAUGACCAAGUGUGAAAUAUGAGUUUGCCACAAGAGGUGUUAUUUCCUGCCCAGCAAAAGCAGCCCAUAGACACCUGACAAACCAUUGUGGAACAUCAGAGGACAAAACACUUUGUUGCUUGCGUCCCCCAACCCAUAUAGAGGAGACACAGAUGGGAACUUGUCCCCUGCUCUUGAACUCUCGGGGAAGGGAAUAAAAAUCCCUGAGAAGAAGAAAUUGCGUCA